GGGAAGGUGGCUCAGUGGUAGAGCGCUUGCCUAGCAUGCAUGAGGCCCUUGGUUCGAUUCCUCAGUACCA
rnacentral:tRNA from 1 species